rnacentral:rRNA from 1 species
GACGAACGCUGGCGGCGUGCUUAACACAUGCAAGUCGAACGGAAAGGCCCUGCUUGCCGGGUACUCGAGUGGCGAACGGGUGAGUAACACGUGGGUGAUCUGCCCUGCACUUCGGGAUAAGCUUGGGAAACUGGGUCUAAUACCGGAUAGGAGCCAUCUUUAGUGUGGUGGUUGGAAAGUUUUUUCGGUGUAGGAUGAGCUCGCGGCCUAUCAGCUUGUUGGUGGGGUAAUGGCCUACCAAGGCGGCGACGGGUAGCCGGCCUGAGAGGGUGUACGGCCACAUUGGGACUGAGAGACGGCCCAGACUCCUACGGGAGGCAGCAGUGGGGAAUAUUGCACAAUGGGCGCAAGCCUGAUGCAGCGACGCCGCGUGGGGGAUGAAGGCCUUCGGGUUGUAAACUCCUUUCGCUAGGGACGAAGCUUUUUGUGACGGUACCUAGAUAAGAAGCACCGGCUAACUACGUG